UACAGAGGGUGCGAGCGUUAAUCGGAAUUACUGGGCGUAAAGCGUGCGUAGACGGUUAUUUAAGUCGGGUGUGAAAGCCCCGGGCUCAACCUGGGAAUUGCAUUCGAGACUGAAUAGCUAGGGUACGGUAGAGGGAAGCGGAAUUUCCGGUGUAGCGGUGAAAUGCGUAGAUAUCGGAAGGAACAUCAGUGGCGAAAGCGACGUCCUGGACCAAUACUGACGCUCAUGUGCGAAAGCGUGGGGAGCAAACAGG
rnacentral:rRNA from 1 species